rnacentral:rRNA from 1 species
AUUGAACGCUGGCGGCAGGCCUAACACAUGCAAGUCGAACGAGUGGCGGACGGGUGAGUAAUGUCUGGGAAACUGCCCGCUGGAGGGGGAUAACUACUGGAAACGGUAGCUAAUAUCGCAUACCAUCGGAUGUGCCCAGAUGGGAUUAGCUAGUAGGUGGGGUAACGGCUCAACUGGGCGACGCUCCCUAGCUGGUCGGAGAGGAUGACCAGCAACACUGGAACUGAGACACGUUCCAGACUCCGACGGGAGGCAGCAGUGGGGAAUAGUGCACAAGGGGUGCAAGCCUGAUGCAGCAAUGCCGCGUGUAUGAAGAAGGCCUUCGGGUUGUAAAGUACUUGCAGCGAGGAGGCGUUACUCGCAGAAGAAGCAUCGGCUAACUCCGUGCCAGCAGCCGCGGUAAUUC